CCUUCGCGCAGCUCCCUCGCGCAACCCUCCUCGCAGACACAGCCGUUUUAGAACGCGGCAGCGCCAGCCCCUCGCGCGCCACCCCUCGCCAGCCAAUGAGGAUCCUCCGCCGAGGCAUAUGGAAUGAGGAUGCUCCUCGGCGGCGGUGGCGAUUGUGAGGUGCGCCAGCUCGGAGCGGAAGGAAGGGAGGGAGGGAUCGGCGAGCGAGCGAGAGAGAAAGGAGGCGGUGGCGGGGCAUCUCCGAGGCCUGGGCGCCGCUCAUUGGCUCCGAGGGGGUUGGGCCCGCCCCCCGAAGCUGGAGCUACACAGCGCGGCCGGCCGAGGCGACCCUCGGCACACGCGCAGAUCCCUUCGCCGGCUUCCCCCUGCUCCGGCCGCGGCGGUGAGUCAGGGCUGGGGAGCCGGUGGGCGGGCGAGGGCGAGCCCAGCUUAGCGGGGCGGCGGGUCAGAGGCGGCGGGGCAGGAGGGUCUCAGGCGGCGGGAGCCUCUCAGGCGCUGGCUGACGAACAGGGUCUCCUCUCAAGGGGAGGGAAGCACGGGAUCGGGGCCCAUAGCAUCGGAACAGGGAGGCGGCCACGGGCCUGGAGGUGCACGUGGGGAAGGGGCCGGGCGCUUCGCGGCGCUAGGCCUUCUGGCUUCGGGACCACCCGAUUUCAUUCCGAUUAAAUCCCGAGUAACUUCACACCGAGCUACACGUCGGCACUUUCGCUUUUUAUUUUUUAUUUUUGCCUCGGUUGAGGCCCGCGAAGGUGGCAGCUGCGCGCACGCUUUCCCCCUCCGAGGGUUUUGCUUCCGAGCAGACGUGCCCAGGGUUGCGCCGCGGCAUGUACUUACUAGGACGUCCCGCCUUCCAGGCACGUCUCUGCCUUGCCCCGGGUGGGUGUGCAAAGUCGUGCGCGGUGCGCCGGAAAGGCAGCGGCUUUUUCACACGUGCAGAUCCGUCGCCUGGAACGGAGUCCGCUGAUAAAUAAGCAGGCGGUGAGCUUGGGUCCGCAGGGCUGUCCUAUGCAGGAGGCUCCGUUGUGUACAGUAGGAUUUAGACCCCAAUAUGAUUUAGGUUUAGGAUUGCCUAAAAAAGACCUUUCUUAUAGUCUCAGCUAGGAGGGAAAAAAUCAGGAGUAGUAGAGCCUACACUCCUGUAAACAAUACUGGGGUGCAUGUGCACACACAGUUCUGAGGCUCUGUCACUUCGUGCCAGCUAGAAUUACAGUGCUAAUUCUCUGCUUGUGUAAAGAUAGUGGAAUGGCGAGGACCCCAGUUCUCUUUUAGUAUGUUAGGAAGCUCUUCCAAAUGCACAUAUAACAACAAUAUGAUACUGGUUGGUGUACAGAAAAUGUAUAAACAAGCAUGGAAAGAGUAGGGAAAACCCACGUUUACACUGCUUUUCCUUUUGCCAUGUACGAAAGGAUAAUAAGGCUAUAAUCCUAACCCCUCUUAACUUGGGGUACACAUAAAUGAAUUCAAUAGGACUUGCUUCUCAGUGGACAUGGUUAGCGUUCUGUCAUUGGGUUAGGUUAGGUGGACCGCCCCCCCCAUUGUAUAUGAAGACAACUUUCACUCAAAUCCUGUUCCAAAUAUGCAUGUUCAUUGAUACACAUUGCUGGGGUGCAUAACAUGUUGCCUAGAAAUGCAGAUGAGGCUGCAACCUGGCAUCCAUUCAUAUUAAGUAUGUUCCGGGUGUUUAGGGAAGCUGAAGACUCAAGCUGUUAUGGAUUGGUUCGGCUUGUUAACAGUGAAGUUGGUAGGGACUGGCUAGUGUUACUACAAGAUUUUGAUUUCUCACAGAUCUGUCCUCUCUGUUGGGUUGCAGCAACCUCUCAUGGAGACAUCUCCUGGUUUUUGUUUCCCUUUCUGAUUCUAAAGAACAGGGAAAGAUAUACAAUAGUGUUAGUGUGGAGGAUGAAAAAUGUAGCCUCCCAGUCAGACAUAGUUGGCUGCAGUUUAAAACACUGUUUAUAAACUGAUUCUGAAAAGUUGAUAAUGAGAAAUUGAAAUGAGCAUUGCAGCUAGAGGAUCACAGCUAACAUGAUUGUAUUCAUACUGGCUGAUGAGGUAUGCAUUGAGUUUGUAUCAACAGUGUAGAGUAGAGACCAACCUGUAAUGUUGCACUUCUGACAUGAUACUAGAUUCUUUCAUCAGAGUUGGAGAGGUAGUUCUUUGUUUUGAUGCUAAUUGAUUGAACUACACUGAUACAUGAUUAAUCAUUAAGCUACAUUGAAAUCUUACUAGGGUUAAUUAAAUAUCAACUGUUACGGUAAGCCUGCAACUUGCACGCAUUUAAUUUGUGCAUAUUCAGCUUUAUGCAUGCGGCAAAACAUU